rnacentral:lncRNA from 1 species
CUACGAUGGGCCCUUUUAACUCUGCAUGCUACAGGGUUUGGUUAUGGUCCAUGUUUAUUCUUGAUAGGAUCCUUAGGCUGGGAUUUUGACUUGUUAAUGGCUAUCAAAUAAAACAAAAUGCUUACCUAUUGGUGUAGUGCUGUUGUGUAUUGAUAGAAUUAGUUGAUUCUUGGUCUUGUUUGAUAGAAUAGAAUAAGAAGAGAUAUUCUCUACUUGGUCUUUUACAAGUCUUAGUGAUGUGCUUUCUGUUGCUGUGGCAUACUUGCGAAUAUGAUCCCAGCCUAUUCCCAUGUGUUGUGUUGUGCACAGUGAAGAUGAUAAUAUGAUCGUCUGACUGAUUUCAACUUGCGAAAGAGCAUAUUUAACAGAGCAUUACCAGGUAUCACUUCAUCAUGAAAGAAAUGGCUUUUAGUUGCUACUGUCAUAAUGCUUGUGGAUAAUACACUGUAGUACAAUCUCGAGUUCGGUAAUUUAUGUGAAAUGGACUAAAAAUAGGCAACCUUUCCACGCGGAGCAUAUUUGACUGUAGGGUUGUUGAAUUGAAAUACACAUGUACAUGCUUUGAUCAUCUGGAUUGCAUUCUCUUCACAUGGCUACUUGGUCCAUUUAACGAAGCUUCAUGGUAGGUACAUGUCUUGUUAAGAAGUGAUUUAAAAUAUAAAUAGAAGAUAGAAAGAGGGGAUGCUUGGAGAUUAUGAGACAUUUACUGUUCAAAAGAAGGAAAGCGGAUUCUCUGUUUCUCUUAUUCUAUCGUAAUGUGUGUUGGUAAUACACCAUAGUAGAAUCUUGAAUUUCUGUCAAAGUUAAGAUAAGCAAUGUCAAACGGGAAAAUGGACAACCUUUUCCAUUCAGAAGAGCAGAGUCCUUUUACAGUCAUGUAAAAUAUGAGAUGUCCAAUGAGUGAAUGAAUGAAUGGCUGUUAUAUUUAUAGAGAAGAAUAUGGAGGAUUUAGUUUGUCUCAAGAAAUGAGUGAAUGAAACUGUGGGCUUGACUCUAACCUGUAAUCUGCUAUUGGGUCUAGCUAAGUUGGAUUUGUUUCCAAUCUAGCAUUUGUUUAUGCAAAUUGGCUAUGUUUGAACUGAAGCUUGGUUUAUCUACAUUUUGUAGAAGUUUUUGAUUAUUUGAUAGUUGAUAACUCUUCUAUUGCAAGCAGCAGAGGAGGAUGGAUCCAGGACCGACCGCUGCGGAUUCCCCGCCUCACUAAUGUCGGUCUUGUGCUUGUCUGGGGUUCUUCUUCGCCCAGCACAAACACCAUUGAUGGCAGUGAAAACCAGCUGCUACAGAUGCUGAUCAUUGGCCGGUGAGCUCACACAUUUGCACCUUCGGAAGCACCAGGUCACCUACUACAACAUCAAGUUCAACGACGAGGUUGCUGGGCGCUAGCCAUGGCUUCCGACGCGUUACAUGGUUGAAGGCUUUUUGGUUCGCGUUCUCGUGCGACGCCGGCGCCAGUGGUGCUGUACGGCCUCGGCUACAGCCAUUCUGGUAAGUUCCUAAUUUUCUUCAAACCAGCUUUCCUCGUUGCACUUUUGUUUUAAAUUUACGUUUGGUCAUACAUGUUACAUAUCCAAAAUGGGUGGAAUUGAAAUGUUGCAUAUUAUAUCCAAGCUGUAAGGUUAAAUCUUUUUUGGAGGGUGUAAGGUUAAUUCUUUGAUUGUAGUGGAACACAUCGUUUUUCAAAUUGGUAAUAUGGUUUCUUUGUCCAUGAUAUGUUAUAAACAGUUUGUAUGGAUUGGUGCUGGUGUUCAUCCAUCCCUACAAAUAUGUUAAUCUUAAUGCUAAGAUGGAGACCUUGCCAUUUUGCAUGUAGCCUGGGAGGAAUUUGUUUACAGAGGAGUGGACAUAUGGCUCCCUGGCUCCAUGGAGCCCUUUAUUUUCAAACAUUCAAAAAUCUAGUUUCUAUGUUCAGUUACUGUAUAUUUAUCUUUGACCCAGAAUAUUUAUUGUGGAUCUGUUACAUGGUGUGCCAUGUAUAUGCCUAGUAUUUCAGCAUGCUUAUGACUGUGCAUUUGCUAGUUUAUUAGCUAGCACAUGUCAUUUACUGAAGUUGUUUGCAUCACCAUGACCAGACUUGAUCAAUAUUAUUACUUUGGUAAUUCCAAAACUAAUCAUGUUAUUGAUAAGUUUGUCACCAAUCAAUGAAUGAAAUACAUUUGAUCCUCUUUUGACAUGUGCAGAGUGUUGUCCUGAUGCAGGAACUAGCUAUGGUGGUGGCUGCGGAUUUGCCACUUCAACAAGGUUUCGUGCCUCCCUGGUUUGCACAAGCUCCGUCAGGCAGCUGCAGAUCCCGUACGACCACGGCCCGCACCCCGGAAGCUUCACCCGUCUGCAACAACUUCUGGAUCAAAGGUAAUCUCUCUACUGUCCUAAAGCAUGAAAGCGUUUCUCCUCUAGACUUUUUUAGAUUGAUGUUAGUCUGAUGACAGUGUUAGUCCGGAGAUGGUGACCUAACCAUAUUCAUGAUAUGUGAACUGAAUGGAUGUUAAUAAAAACAAUCUUAUAGAACAACCGACGAGAAAUUUGAAUCUUCAUUUUGCCAUUACCAUUGAAUAUGUUUCUUAAUAAAGUGGGUUCUCUUUAUGCAUGGAGAAACACUUUAUUGUAUCAGUCGAUUUACUAGAUCAUUUGUGACUUUUGAGCAAGGACGUAAUUGGUAGUCUGCUUUCGAGAGCAAGUUUUGUGCAGCAGUUUAUACUUUUUUAAUUCUUUCUUCCUCUAUGAGUGGAGGUUCUGGUCAUUCAAGUUUAUGUUAUGUGCUUGUUUUGUUCUGGCAUGUUAAUCUCAUGUUUGACCACAACUGAAUCUUCAAUGCAAAGACUCUGUGUUCAACUCAUAUAAUUUCAUUUUUGACCGUUCAAUGCAAAGAUAUAAUUGAUGAUUGUUCCUACAAGUUCAUUACACUAACCAACAUGGUAGUAAUGUCGAGUUGAGCACUGAGCACUUUGCACUUGUUAUCUCAGGAUUGUUGCUUAAUCCCGGGCUGCUCUACCUUGAAGGAAAAGGGGUCGUCCUUGAGAUCAUAUAGAUGGCGCAAGGACAAUGGUCAUUGUGGUGGCUGAGGAUGCUGUCCAAGAUCUUAUCGUGUGAAGCAUGAAUUUUGUGGACCUCACCAUCCCUUCCUAGGUUUGGGUGAGUCCUCUCUCCCCUCCUCCCCCCCUCUCCUCUCUCUCUCUCUCUCUCUGAGAUGGUCCGGUCAUCGAGCUGUGGGUGAUUGUGGUGUUGGCAAUCGAGUCGCUGAUUUAGUGUUUGGAUCUGUGGUGGCCUCAUGUUAUUGUGAUUGUGAUCGCCUUUCUUGUUGAUGAAAUUGGUCUCUUUUAAAUUGUAUUUCUAUGAUCACCAUUUUGCAUGUAGCCUGGGAGGGAAUUUGUUUACGAUAGAUUCUUGAUUAGAUAGAUAUAAAUAGGAUACAAUUUUGUUUAAGAUAAACAAAGUUCUGUUAACGGGUAUAUAAAACAAUACUAUCAUUUUAUUAGAGGUAAACUAAGAGAGUGGAUAUAUAGAUCCCUGGCUCAAUGGAGCCCUUUAUUUUCAAACAAUACUAUCAUUGUGCGACGUACAUGCGUCUAGUACUUAUCUUUGACCAUGUGCUUUUUCCUUGUCUGUUGAGGAUAUAGACCUGGGGGUCACCCGCCAGGAGGGCCGGGUUACUCCAAGGAUCAUUACCAGAAGCCCGGAGCUAAGUUUCAGGAUAAUGGGCCAGAGAUGGGCUGAGACCCGGAUAUGGCUUAAAGCCCGUAGUUACAAUCAUUGUUAUAGUAGACUUGUAGUGUAAGGCAAGUAUUGUUUUAGAGCCCGAGCCGGACACUCUUAUGAGCCGGCCGGGACUCUAAGGGCUGCUGGGCGUCAGCCUCCCUAUAUAAAGGGACGACCCGGCAGCGGUUUGGGGACGACAACAAUCUCUCUGAGAGCCGGGAUAAGUUUAGUUCCCUGGCGAUCGUAACCCUAAUCAAUAACACCUCGAACUGGACGUAGGCUUUUACCUUCACCGUAAGGGGCCGAACCAGUAUAAACCCUCGUGUUCCUUGUCCCGCAUAACCCCUUCAAGCUUCCUAGUUGCGAUGGCUCCACGACUAAGUCCUAGCCCAAGGACAUCUGCCGUGACAAUUCCACGACAGUUGGCGCCCACCGUGGGGCCAGCGCACGGUGGAUUUGAGUUCUUGAAGGGCAGCUUCGAAGGGCUCAAGGGAUACGCUGUGGGCCGGAUGACCAAGAGUCGUCGCGGCAGGCUCUACAUCGACGACGCGGACUGGGGCCCCGACGGCGGCUCAGUGGAGUACGGGUACCGGGUCCCCUUUGGCGGAAUUCAUGUCUUCAUUGGCAAGAUUGGUGAGCCGGGCCCCGAGCCGGGUCUCUGCGCCGAUCUCAUCGAAACGGCUCAGCGCGCCCGAUCCGCCCGGGCCCGGCCUGCCCUAAAACGCGCUUUUGUGGGAUGCAUCCAUGGAAGGCCCUCCGAUCCAUCUGGGUCUGGGGAUGAGGCGGCCGCCGGCUCUGACGGCGAGUCGGCCGCUGAUGAGUCAAACUCGUUGUACCAACUUCAAGAUGGCAGGCUCAUGAGUUAUUCCGAUGGCAACAGUAUUCCGGACCUUUUUGAGCCGCCAAGUCAGGUCGGAGUUUUUAUGGCUGGUGCGCAGCCUGUUCAGAACCCCGCUACCGGAUCAGAAAAUCCGGAGCCUUCCCCGGCUCAGGUGCUGAUGGAUCUCACAGAUAAGAUGACGGCCCUGUUAACUGCCACGGUUGACCCGGCAGAUCAAGCCCAGCAUGACGCGGAGGUGGCACAGUUAAAAUUGGAUCUGAUGAAAGCAAAAGAGGAUCUUGCAGCAGAAGGGAUCAGGCUGGCGGCGGAGCGGGCGGCUCUCGACGCCCGGGCUCAGUUGAUUCAGGCGCAGUCCUUCCAACUCACGAUGGAUCAGAACGCGGCCAACGAGGUCAUGAGAAGGAGGCAUCAGAAGGCCCGGUCUCGACUCCCGCCGGUUUACGAUCCGCGCAAUCUAUUCAACACGCCGGGUGCGGGAUCCAGUAACCCACCAGGGGUCAUUGCGCCCGGGUCGGGACCCCUUAUUCAGCCACUAGUAAUGGGGACUCCCCAGGCGCCCCCUGCCCCGCCUCAGUAUGUGCCAAUACCCCCGGGUCAUUACGAUAACCCGCUAGAGAACAUGGUAGCAGCGGCAGCACGACUGGCGGCUCUUCCCGUUGACGGCAAUUCUCCGGCAGCCGUGGAAACCCGCCGGGUCAGGGAACUCCUGCAGACGGCCCUAGCGCAGCAAGAGGCGUACUCCUACAGCCGGGACAGGAUCCACUCAACUCCUCGCCCAGGCCAGAGCCCGAGCUACAGCCGGCACAUGGUCUCGGCGACCGGCUCAAGUAAUGUCCGACACCAUGGCCCGGCUCAUGUUGGAACCUUCUACGCCGCAGACCAAGCACGGCAAGAGGCGGAGCAGGUGCCGCAAUUGACGGCUUAUCAGACCCCCCCGGCUUAUCCAACGGCGUCCGUUGAUGUGGGUAUUUCUACCAGGACCGGGGGUGUCCCUUGUUUGGUGCCGGCCAUCCGUAAUGAACGUUUACCUAAGGAUUUCAAGGGCCCUAGGAAAGUGCCUAACUAUACAGCUGACUUACAGCCUGCGGCCUGGAUUGAGAGUUAUGAGAUGGCCAUGGAACUGCUAGAGGUCAGCGAGGCGGCCAUGGCCAAAUAUUUCACCAUGAUGUUAGAUGGAACUGCCCGCACGUGGUUAAAAGGGCUGCCACCAAACUCCAUUGGGUCUUGGACUGAGCUGAAGGCCCGGUUCAUUCAAAACUUCAAGGAUACCUGUAGGCAGUCUAUGUCAAUUGUGGAUUUGACUAACUGUAAGCAGCAGGAGGGCGAGUCCACGACCCAUUGGGUUCGCCGGGUCAAGGAGAUCAUACAUUCAUCAGAUGAGAUGGACGCCAGCUCUGCAGUCUUGAUGUUAGAACAGAACUGUCGUUUUGUGCCCCUAAAGAUGAAGCUUGGGCGGCUUAAACGUGACUGCACGGAUAUGGGUACACUAAUGGCGGCUCUUGUCAAAUACGCUGAUUCCGAUGGUACCAAGGAUCCCCCUUCAGAUGAUGAAAGGACAGGGAAGGGAAAGAAGAACGGCAAUGGAAAGAGCCCUCAGUUUAACCCGGGGAAUCAAGGAGGAGGCAAGCGCAAGGCCGAUGGCAGCCUGGAGUUCGUAGCCAACACCCAAGGCAACAACCAGCGACGCAAGGGGAGGCCGCCUCCCCGAGGCGGCGGGUCAGGACCUUCUCUGGAGCAGCUGUUGAAUGAACCUUGUCCGAGAGACGGCUCUAGAGAGAAGCCAGCGACUCAUCUGUGGAAGGAUUGUGCUAUCAUGAAGGCCUUUAAAAACUACAAUGGCCCGGGCGGCGGCCCAGGCGCAGGCGGCUCCGGCGCUGGCGGCUCUCAUGGCCCGGGUGGCGGGUCAAAUUCCGGUCCUCAGAACGGUCAAGGGGGCUUCAAUCAACAGUCUGGUCAGGGUCAUCAACAGCAACAGGGGGGUUAUCAGACCAACCCGAAGCAACUUAGCGGUGGACAGUAUCACGUGUUCACCACUAGUUUGUGCAAACGAGACGAGAAGCUUCACAAGAGGGCUGUUAAUUCUGUUGAGCCGGCGGUUCCACGCUACUUACGGUGGUCGGAGCAGCCCAUAGUGUGGAGUAGGGAGGAUCACCCUCCCCGGGUGGAUAACCCGGGCCACCUGGCCUUAGUAGUGGCUCCUCAGGUGGGAGGCUAUAAGUUCACAAAGGUACUCAUGGAUGGAGGCAGCAGUAUCAACAUCCUCUAUUAUGAGACUUUCUGUCGUAUGGGGCUAGUUGAUAAGAACCUCAGCCAGUCAAAUACUAUCUUCCAUGGUGUGGUACCCGGUAAGUCGGCUUAUCCAGUCGGCAAGAUCGAAUUGGAAGUGGCUUUUGGUGAUGAAAACAACUACAGGGUGGAGAAAUUGACCUUUGAGGUGGUCAAGAUAAGAAGUCCAUACCAUGCUAUAUUCGGACGGCCGGCUUACGCCAAGUUCAUGGCACGGCCGUGUUAUGUGUACUUACAGCUCAAGAUGCCGGGUCACAAUGGGACCAUUACAGUUCACGGCAGCCGGAAGGUGGCUCUGGAGUGUGAGGAAGGUGACGCGGCUUAUGCAGAGUCUGUUUGUGCCACAGAAGAGUUGAAAUUUUAUAAAGACAAUGUUGACCCAACAGAUAUGACCUCUCUGAAAAAGCCAACCACGGAGAAUGAACCAGCAAUGAAGUUUAAAUCAGCCGAUGAGACUAAACUUGUUGAUUUUGUUCCAGGUGACUCGUCUCAGCAGUUCAGCAUCAGUGCAAAUCUGGACCCGAAAUAGGAAGGCGCGCUCAUCGAGUUCAUCCGUGAGAAUAGGGACAUCUUUGCAUGGAAACCUUCUGACAUGCCAGGUGUACCUAGAGAACUCGCUGAGCACACUCUCAAUGUGGAUCCAAAAUUUAAGCCGGUCAGGCAGUUCCUUCGACGGUUUAACGAAGAGAGGCGGAAGGCUAUUGGUGAAGAAGUGGCCCGGCUUUUGGCGGCCGGGUUCAUUGUUGAGGUUUUUCACCCAGAGUGGUUGACUAACCCGGUGCUCGUACUUAAAAAGAACGGCACCUGGCGGAUGUGUGUGGACUACACGGACUUGAACAAGGCGUGUCCGGCUGAUCCUUUUGCUCUCCCCCGCAUCGAUCAAAUCAUUGACGCCACGGCAGGUUGUGCACGCUUAAGUUUCUUGGAUGCUUAUUCCGGGUAUCAUCAGAUUAAGAUGGCAGUUAAGGACCAGGAGAAGACGGCGUUCAUCACUCCCUUUGGAGCCUUCUGCUAUGUGUCUAUGCCCUUUGGACUCAAGUGUGCACAGGCGACUUACCAGCGUUGUGUGCAGAAUUGCCUUCAUAAGCAGAUCGGGCGCAAUGUUCACGCUUACGUGGACGACAUUGUGGUUAAAUCCAUCAAGGAGGAAACCCUGAUAGAUGACUUAAGGGAAACCUUCGACAAUCUCCGGGUCUAUAAGAUGAUGCUUAACCCGGCCAAAUGUGUUUUUGGUGUUCCUGCAGGCAAACUAUUGGGCUUCUUGGUUUCUGACAGGGGCAUUGAGGCUAACCCAGAGAAGAUCAAAGCUAUCACUUCUCUAGCUCAGCCGGCAUGUAUAAAUGACGUUCAGCGUUUGGCGGGUCGCAUCGCUGCGUUAAGCCGGUUUAUAAGCCGUUUGGGUGAGAAGGCUAUGCCCUUAUAUCAAUUGAUGAAGAAAACUGAUAACUUUGUCUGGAAUGAUGCAGCUAAUACCGCCUUCGAGGAUUUGAAAAAGCAACUGGCAGAGCCCCCCGUCCUUGCUGCUCCGGUUGAUAAGGAGCCCUUGCUACUGUAUGUAGCGGCACACGCACGAGCUGUCAGCGUGGCUAUUGUCGUGGAGCGCAAGGAGGCAGGUAAGGAGCAUCCGGUUCAGCGGCCGGUUUAUUAUGUCAGUGAGGUGCUCAUUGAGUCCAAGCAGCGGUAUCCGCAUUGGCAGAAGCUCGUAUAUGGGGUAUUUAUGGCGAGCCGGAAGCUUAAGCAUUACUUUCAAGGUCAUCCCAUCACUGUGGUCAGUUCCGCCCCUCUCGGUGAUAUUAUCCAGAACAGAGAGGCUACAGGGAGAAUUGCUAAGUGGGCUAUAGAACUUGGACCUCAUGACCUCAAAUAUGUGCCACGCACUGCUGUUAAGUCUCAGGCCUUGAUAGAUUUCAUCAAUGAUUGGACAGAGUCACAAGUACCCGAGCAAAAGCCGGAUAACACUUAUUGGACCAUUCACUUUGAUGGGUCCAGGCAGCUGGAGGGCUCGGGGGCUGGUGUGGUCUUGGCUUCCCCUAAAGGUGACAAGUUCCAUUAUGUGCUACGGUUGAUGUUUCCUUGCACUAAUAAUUCUGCUGAGUACGAGGCUUUGCUCCACGGUCUUCGGGUGGCUAAGGAGAUGAGCUUAAGCCGGCUGAGGUGUUUUGGUGACUCAGACUUGGUGGCUCAACAAGUAUCAGGCACCUGGGAUUCUAAGGAUCCUCUAAUGGCGGCUUAUCGCCGCAAGGUUGAUGCCAUUGCCGGGCACUUUCAGGGAUAUCAAGUGGAGCACAUUGACCGCAGGAAGAAUGAGGCGGCUGAUGCUUUAAGCCGGCUCGGCUCUCAGCGAAAGCCGGUGCCGCCUAACACUUUCCUGGAUGUCCUAUAUAACCCUUCGGUUAAGUUGCCUACAGAGGAGGACUUGGCUAUCCCUGACCCGGAGGCACGACUGGUGGCGGCUCUUCAUAUCACACCAGACUGGACAAUGCCAUAUCUGGCUUAUAUAACUCGGGGAGAGUUGCCUGAGGAUGAAAUUCUGGCCAGGCAAAUAACCCGGCGGGCUAAGUCAAUGAUUGUUAUCGAUGGCGAGUUGCAUCAUCGCAGUGUUUCAGGGGCAUUCCAGCGUUGUAUCUCCCCUGAGGAAGGUCAAGAGAUCUUGCGCGAGAUCCAUGAAGGGGAUUGUGGCCAUCAUGCCGGUUCAAAAUCUCUUGUGGCCAAGGCUUUCCGUCAUGGUUUUUAUUGGCUGACGGCUCACGCUGAUGCAGAGAACUUGGUCAGUAAAUGUGAUGGCUGCCAAAGGUUCUCCCGACGGGCUCAUGUGCCGGCUCAGGAAUUGAGGAUGAUCCCGAUCACUUGGCCCUUUGCGGUCUGGGGGCUUGAUAUGGUCGGGCCUUUUAAACGGUCCAAGGAUAAGAAGACCCACCUCUUGGUGGCAGUGGACAAAUUCACGAAGUGGGUGGAAGCUGAGCCAGUUAGCAAGUGCGAUGCAGCCACGGCGGUUCAAUUUAUGAAAAAGGUGAUCUUCCGCUUCGGCUUUCCACACAGCAUCAUAACAGACAACGGCACUAAUCUGUCCAAAGGCGCCAUGGAGGAGUUUUGUCAAAGAGAGCAUAUCCGGCUUGAUGUCUCUUCAGUGGCACACCCCCAAUCCAAUGGUCAAGCUGAGAGAGCUAACCAGGAGAUUCUGAAGGGCAUUAAACCCCGGCUCUUGGUCCCUUUGCAACGGACGCCAGGUUGUUGGGUGGAGGAGUUGCCCUCCGUUUUAUGGAGCAUCAACACUACUCCUAACAGGUCUACAGGCUUCACGCCUUUCUUCAUGGUUUAUGGAGCAGAAGCAGUUCUCCCCAGCGACAUCCGUCAUGAUUCACCUCGUGUGGCGGCUUAUGUUGAGACGGAUAAUGAACAGGCGCGCCGAGAUGCUCUGGACUUGCUGGACGAACAGCGUGAUGUGGCAGCCGCCCGUUCAGCGAUUUACCAACAAGACCUGCGCCGUUAUCAUAGCCGCCGGGUUAAAUCCCGGGUCUUCCAGGAGGGCGACCUGGUGCUCCGGCUCAUCCAGGAUCAAACAGAUGCACACAAGUUAUCCCCACCUUGGGAAGGGCCUUUUGUGGUCAGUAAGAACUUGCACAACGGGUCAUAUUACCUCAUUGAUAUCCGGGAGCAUAAGGACUCACGUAAAUCUGAGGAGGAGACCCGUCGGCCGUGGAACAUAGCUCAGCUUCGGCCUUACUACACUUGAGCUUCCGACUCUUGUGAUGUACAUAUUUAUCUCAGCCAUGUAUAUAUUAUGAUAAAGCAAUAAAGCAGGACCUCUGUCCUUUGCUCUCUUCCAAAAAUGUGUGUUGUUACAUGCUGACUUACAGAAGAUCCGGCUUAUGAUCAUCUUUGAAUCUAGCUGUAAGCAGUAAAGUCGCUUGGGGGCUUCCUGUUCACACAUGGGUCGUAUUCGAACCAAAGAGAACAUAGCUGUCGAUACCCAUUUGAUUGGCAAAGUGCCGAGCUCAUUGGGAAGUUGCCUCUGGUCAUAUUUGAAUCAUAGUGUAACCCCUCUGAGAACCGACGUGGAUCGUAUUCGAAUCAGCGUCGUUAAACAAAUUUUCAGAAUCACUUGGGGGCUUCCUGUCCAAACAUGGGUCGUAUUCGAACCAAAGAGAACAUAGCUGUCGAUACCCUCUUGAUUGGCAUCGCCAAACCCACUGGGGGCUAUAUGAUCGUAUCCGAAUCUUAGCUUAACCCCUUUGGACCGAGUUUCUGGUCGUAUUCGAACCGGAAGCCCUUAAGUUUUUAUAUUUUACCACAAACUUGCUUUGAUCAUGUCAAAGUAUGUACUGCCGGGUUUCACUUGCCGGCUUAAUUUUGGUUUAUCUUGUUAGUUGAGCAUCAUGGAUGUCAUCAAGACAAAUAAAUUCGAGUUAAGGUACCAACCGUGCUACCCGGGCUAUUUAACCCGGAAGUAUGCUUACAGGCUGUUAAGUGUGUCAUCACAGCUAUGUUCGAGUAUAGUUAAGGACCGAUCUUUUUUGGUUCGUAUCCCGGGUUAUCCAUCUCAAACACCUGAUUCUCAGGGCGGUAAGCCGCUUUGCGACUUGUAAUUUGCCUUUCUAUGCAGAUAUUUAAAGGCACUUUUUAAGGUUGAGAAGGACAAAGGGAUAAUUCCGACCCGGAGGAGCAUCAAAAGAAUGACUUCAACGGAUUUCAGCAUUCAUUACGAGCACGAUGGCACGGCAGAGAUAAAUUGUUGCACCUACUCUAUUACAAAAAUCUUUCAAAGUUUCAAGGAUGGGCGUUGUUUGGUGAGCCGCUAGCCGGUUUAUGACGUCUGCUGAGUUGAAGUCCCCGGCUCAUCUUCUGCUUCGGCUGAUCCCAAGGCUUCGAAGGUCGACGACUUCCAGUUGAUGCCGCUGAGAGCUUCGAACUGAGCUUCUUCGUCAAUUAACCCGUCCGGGUUAAUCUCCGGGGCAAAGGUGUGCUGGCGAGCCGGAGGAAUCAGAUUGAUGGCUUCAUAGCGAGGGGUUGGAAUCCUCUGAUUCUCCGCGUUGUAUCCCGGCUGAUACUUGGUUAAAUCGGUGUCGUUCCCGAUGAUGGUGGCCACCGGGCGCACAACUUUCACACAAGCCGCGAAGUCCUUCUGGUCGAACGCUGAGCCGUCUUCUUUCAGGCUGGGAUAGCCCAGGGCGAUGUCUGCCGGGUCUAGCUCCGGCAAGAAGGCUUUGGCCCGGCUCAGUGCGGCGAUUGCUCCGGAUCUCGCGGAUGCUCGUCGUAGCUCCUGGAUCCGCUGCGGCAGAACUGCGAGCCGGCGCAGGACUUCGGCCAGAUGAGUCGGCACUUCAUUCGACAGGGCCACCACAGCUAAAGCCCGCUGUGACCCGGUGUAGAGCUGUUCCACCAGGGUGUACACGGCCUUUAACUUGGUGACCACGCUCUGGUUCAAGUUGGCGCUUCUGGAACCUGUUUAACAACAUCAGAUGACCCGGUGGUAAGGAUGAGUUAAGAGAUGUAAACAUUCCAAUGUGAAUGAAAGCCGGUGAGGCGACUUACCGAAGAUGGCAGCUACCAUUUGGGACACUUGGCGCUUUAGACCGGAGAGCUCAGCGGUCUUCUCAGUAAGGGCCUUCUCCGCCUGUUCUGCCCGGAUCACCAGUGCAGUUUUCUCCUCAGCCCAGGCCUUCCGCUCAGCGUCGAAUUCAGUCUUCAACUUUUCCUGAGCGGCGAUGCUGGAGAUAAACUUGGCAUUUGCCUUCCGGGUCUCCAUCUCUUGUGCCUUCAGCUGGCUCUUGAGAUCCGCCAGGUCUGACUCUAAUUUCUUGCCAACAGCCUGCAUAUAUUUCCGGGUUAUUAACAGUCAUCCCAUAAAGUCCCAAGCGCUUUCCAAGCAAAGACACUUGGCACUUGGGGGCUAAUGCAUAUUGAACGUAUCUAUCUAUGUACGGCCGGCUCAGUUCAGUAAGCCGGAAUCUCAAGUCUACAACAUAUUCAAGUAUAAGUCCUAGACUUGGGGGCUAGAAUGGCAAGGAUCACUAUGCGGAAAGUAAGAAAACAGCAGAAGGUUACCUCAGAUUUGUGUUGGAUCUGGUUGACCAUGGCGAUCUCGGCGUCCCGGCUCUUGUGAACCUGGCUGAUAUAGCCUGAGACGAGUUCUCCAAUACUUAAGUCGGUGUAGCUGGAGAGAUCCAGAUUCACCCGGUGGGGUUGUAGCAACUCCCCCCUUGCGGAGCAUUUGGCCAGCGCGGUCGGCCUUCCCGGCUCAACAAACUCCGUCCGGGUAAUUACCACGUCCGGUUCAUUAGCUGGUGGGGCUUCAGGCGCCGUAUCCAUGGGAAUGGUGGCUUCAGGGGUGGAGGCGACUGGCGGCUCUUGAGCCGUCGUCUCCGGCUCAGGCAAGUCGGGCACUCCGGCUGACCUGGUCUUCUUUACUCUUUUGGUGAGCUUUGCCUGGGCACUGAAAAGGCAGAAGUGUUAGGCAUACAAAGGGUAAGUACAGACAGAUAAUGUAAGGAGAUUGUUAUUACCCGGGGGCAGUCUUGAAGGCCGGCAGACUUGACUGCAUGGAGUCACCCGAGGAGGGGGAGGUCUCCUGGUAAUUGGAGUCAGAAGAGUUGAGUGGCUGACGGAUGACACCCGCCAACGGAUGAAAAGGGUACAGGUGAGAAAAAACCUCUGUGCGGCGUUUCCUCGUUGCGUCGGGUAACCCAGUGGGGAGGUCGGUGUCCUUGCGGGCCCGGGUGUGACGCCGGCUCUCGUGAACCUGCUGCUUCAAAAGAAAUUGAGGGUCUCGGUGAGCUAAUCGAUGGGAAAAGCUUACUUUCCGGGUUACCCUUCGGACUUUCAGCUGUGGUAAAGGCUCCGAGCCGGAGGAAAGUGAUGUUACCUCUUCGACCACCGGGUUACUGGAGCCGGUGUCAUCCUGUCAAUAAGCAAGUGUUGAUAAGGCGGACAGCAUCAGACAACAUAUACUGCAAGAAUUUAAAAGAUUUAAGGGUUACCUCUGAUUCGGAGCUAUCGCUUAAUUGCAGCAGCUCCGAAGCAGUGGGUCUGUUUCCCUUUUUGCGAGGGGCGGCUCUCUUGGCGGCUUUCUUCGCCUUCCUGGCCUUCUUGGCCGCCUCGUGGUCAUACUUGACCCGCCAGAAUUUAUCAUCAGCCUGAGAAAUACAGUAAUGAGCUCUUAGUAAGAUGACAGGUAAAACAAAAUGGAAAGGUUAAAGUCAGCGGCUUACCGCUGGGGCUGGAUUGGUCUUGCAGAACGGGGCUAGCCCGAUUCUUCCACAGUCUGCCAGGCUCUCGUUUAAAAGAGCCUUGGUCUCUUCUUCAGCAACGUCUUCUGGAAGAUCAUUGCGACUGUGCCUCUGCGGGUCAUCCUUUCGCCCGGUGUACUCACACAUUAAGCCAGGGCGGCGGCUCAAUGGGAUCACCCGCCAUGAGAUCCAGACCCGGACCAGGUCAAUUCCGUUCAGACCAUUGCCUAGCAGGGCUUUGAUCUUGUUGAUCGUUGGAAGCAGAGGCUGGCGUUCUGCGGCAGUCAGUUUGUCGGAUAAUGGAUGAGUUGGCUCCAGGCGCGUUGGGCGAAAGCCGGGCAACGGGCUCUCAUCAGCCGGGGACGUGUCUUGGCAGUAGAACCAAGUCAUGUUCCAGUCCUUGGGGUGACUUGGCGGUUCUGCAUAAGGGAACAGACAAUCCCUGCGCCGUUGGAUGGAGAUGCCGCCUAACUCUAGACUUGGACCGUUUGCGCACUCGGUUUGGCGGUUCAAAUAGAACAGCUCUCUGAAGAGCAGCAGACUCGGCUCUUCUCCAAGAUAUACUUCACAAAAAACUUGGAAGUUGCAGAUGUUGGAUAUGGAAUUGGGUCCUAUAUCCUGAGGCCGAAGAUCAAAGAAGUUGAGCACGUCCCGGAAGAAUUUUGAGCCGGGCGGUGCGAAGCCCCGGCUCAUAUGGUCGGCAAAGAUCACUACCUCCCCGUCUCUCGGCUGUGGCCUUUCUUCGGACGGGUCAGGGGCACGGUAGGACAUCACUUCCUUCUUAGGCAGAUAUCCGGAUUUAACGAAGUUGGCCAGGGUCUCUUCGGUGACGCUGGAUUUCAUCCAGUUGCAAGUGAUGGGAGCCUUGGGAGGCAUGGUGACGGUUGGUGGUCUACGAGGAAGAGAAAAGUGUCCGGGUUAAUUAUAAGCCGGAGUAUAUCAUUCAAGUUACAAUGACGGCUUAUGAAGGGGACUAAUGGUAUGUCUUGAUACGGUGGGUUAUCUAAGCCGUCGGGGCUUUCAGGAUAAGUUGGUCGUCUACGGCUUACUGCGGUUAAGUCGGAAGAUACUACAGAGCAUGAUUCUCUUUAAACCGGAAAGUUCUACGGCGCGUGUUUUCUCUAAGUCGGAAAUAUAAGCCGCCAAGAUUCAAGGACUGCAGUUUUUACUAAGUGUGGUAAACAGAUUUCACAUAUUACAGUAACUUUUUUGGAUCAAAGUAGUCGGAGCAGAGAAAGUUUUCUAGACCUAAAAAACAGAAGCAGGGGAGGUUCUUGAGAUGGAACCCAGUCCUUAUGCAGUAAAAAGAGGUGUUCUUGCAGAAGAAAUGAACCUCAGAUAUCUACCGCGGUGGUUCUACACAAGCCUAAGGAUCAACGGGGGCAGUGGCUACAGGGGUUACCGAAACUUGCGGUAACAGUGAUGAACAUGAAGAACACAGAUGAACUCUGUCCUAGAUCUAUGCUAGUAAGGCAGAGGGGACUCACCGGAGCUGGAGAAGAGCGGAGGUCGCCGACGUUAUCUGGUCCGAGUCAGGUUGAUGCAGCGGCCGGGUUGAGGAAGACCAGGGGUGCGACGGCGGUGGCGGCAGGAGCUCGGGCAGAGGAACGGCAGUGCGAGGAAGAAGGAGAAUGUGAAGAAGAGAGUGCCGGGCCGGCCUAUUUAUAAGGCCGAGUCAUAAGCGGGCGCGGGAUUUGAGGAGGCCACAGCGUGGUUAUCUCCCCCCUCACGGCGCCUCGAUUCUCGGAAGGUCAGUAAAAGCAAAGAUCCAUUGCGGAUCUGGCGGAGUAAAAAACAGAUUCAGUGGAGGAUGACGUCACGGCGGAUUACCCGGAGUCCAGAGGAUGACGUCACUCCGGGUUAUGACCUUCACAUGAAUGAUAAGCCGGAGAUUUUUUCUGAAUGUGGAGCUGAAGAUUGACACGAGCCGGCUCAAGUCAAUCUGGGGCCUAAUGUUGAGGAUAUAGACCUGGGGGUCACCCGCCAGGAGGGCCGGGUUACUCCAAGGAUCAUUACCAGAAGCCCGGAGCUAAGUUUCAGGAUAAUGGGCCAGAGAUGGGCUGAGACCCGGAUAUGGCUUAAAGCCCGUAGUUACAAUCAUUGUUAUAGUAGACUUGUAGUGUAAGGCAAGUAUUGUUUUAGAGCCCGAGCCGGACACUCUUAUGAGCCGGCCGGGACUCUAAGGGCUGCUGGGCGUCAGCCUCCCUAUAUAAAGGGACGACCCGGCAGCGGUUUGGGGACGACAACAAUCUCUCUGAGAGCCGGGAUAAGUUUAGUUCCCUGGCGAUCGUAACCCUAAUCAAUAACACCUCGAACUGGACGUAGGCUUUUACCUUCACCGUAAGGGGCCGAACCAGUAUAAACCCUCGUGUUCCUUGUCCCGCAUAACCCCUUCAAGCUUCCUAGUUGCGAUGGCUCCACGACUAAGUCCUAGCCCAAGGACAUCUGCCGUGACAAUUCCACGACAUUGUCUGUGCUGAGGAUUUCCUCUAAAUCUGAGAAGAAGAGAUGCUACCCUGGUCUUCCUUUAUUUUUUAUGAAAAUUUGAACAUUGCCUUGUCAUGCUUUGUGUAGUUAACACUUCUUUGAUCCAUGCAUGCUUACUUAUGCAAUCUAGCCCAUGUGUGUGCAGUUGUUUGACUUGUUUUUUCCUCUGUGUUGCGAUGCAUGUGCAGCUGCUGAUCGGGAACCAGCCAUUGGUGUACCUCAAUAAAGUCACAGACGGCUGCAUGGGCGAGUCACCGCCAAGCUUGAGUCCAUAGAGCCCUGCUCCAGCCUCAAGGAGAGGUGAGGUAGUUGUUCCUUUUUUCUGGAUCCCCAUGAUUUAUUUUUUUGUUGUUUUUCGAUCUGAGCUCAAGAUUUGUUAUGUGUGUUGUCCUUGUGCAGGAGAAGGGGUUCAUCGAGCCAGGCAAGGUGCGCGGUGGUAGGCUCGGUCUCCAGCCUCAGCGUCUUCUGUUGGUCCCUUUGCCAUGUGGCGCCGACGAUGUUGUUUGGAGUCGGCUACAAAACUGGCAUGGUGAGCUCGUCUCUUUCCUCUGCUCCUCGCCUCUGGUUGCUCUGAGCUCGUGCCCAUCGAGCCACAACUAUCCCAUGUAAGGAUUUGGCCUCUAAUGGUCACUAUGGAUGGAUGCUAUGGUUCCUGUGAUGUGCUAGGGUUGUAUGAAUUGCCUCAUAAUUGAGCAUUGGUCCAUGUGUAUGCGUUUUGCUCUUGUGAGCUAUUUGACAGGAGUUUACUAAGUGUUUGUGUAGUGCAAAUGUGUUCUGCAUACAAGCUUAUCACCCUUAGUUAGAUAUAGCAUGUACAAACUCUUCUUAUGAUUAUAUGGCUCACAAUCUCAAGCUUGAGGGGUUGGUUGUGGUGCUACAGUUGUUGGGGUGUAGGUGGGAUGUUAGUUUUAACUAGCUGGUGGUGCUGGUGUGGUUGACACCACACCAAUGACUCAGCCAAGCUCCUAGUGUGCUGGAUUUACUGAUUAAUGGGGUUUUUUCAACAAGGUAGAGUUGAUCUGGCCCUUGCGAAACAAGGAAAUUUGUUCCUUUUUUUGUUGGACACUUGUAGCUAAAGAGUGACUAGGACAUUGCUGUCUUUUUAUUGCCGCUUGAUUUGGACCCUUUUGCCUUGUUGAUAGCUAGCAUGCCCUGCGACUAACGAUUACGCAAAGAACUCUUAUCUACUCUUGGUAAUUUACUAUGAAAACUCUUCAGUUUGAACGGACCGAGUUGAUUGAUCUUAUUUAUGACCAUCAUGAUCCUUUUUAUUGGUUUUGUUGUUGAAACAACACAAACUAGGAGAGGGAUUAGAUGACUGACUGAGAGCUAUUUGUUGGGUCGGUUGCGGAAAGAAUGUUGUGAUGUACUCCAGAAUACAAUAUUGUUGUACUUUAUGGGUUGCUUCCUUUUGAUGCCCUUAUUGCUCGGCUAUUAAUUGAUCUUGUUCUCUCUCGCUCUUUGCCCAGGAUGGUGAGAAGAAAUAUGAGCUAGAGACGGUGCACCCACAAUCAUCGGGUAAGGUCGUUUUUUAUCUUCCGGAGGGCAGAGCGGGGCGAGAAUACGGCUCGAUGGAGCUUGGAGGUAUAUGGGAAGUCUGGUGGUUUGCUUUACAUUUCGAUUAUCUAUAUAUGGGUUGUUCCGGCUGGGUACUUGUUUUGCUGGGUGCUUAUUUUAUAUCCAACCACUGUCUCUUUGAAACACGAUGUCCUCUGCUUCUCUAUAGGAGAUUAGAGGUAAUUUUGGGGUUUGCAAAAUCAUGCUUUGUCAUGGGAUGAUUUAUUGGAACGAAUUUCAAACAACGUGAUGUUUGUUUUCUGAAUCCAAACCAUAAUGUAGUACUGUAUGUUGUAAUUUUUUAACAUGUUAAUUGAAUUGAUAGUAAUCGUUCUUGGAGGUGUAGGUUUGGCUUUUUAUCCAAUGUAUGAACUGACGGAUCAUCCUCUGGGUUAUGCUUCCUGAAUAGCGAAGAGCUAAUCAUCCUGGUGAUUGGUCAAAAUAAAAGUUCAUCUUGUUUCAGUUGCCCCUGUAGUGAUAGGGAUGCAGUGUGAUGUUGAAAAAGGCCACUGGUAAUUUUGAGAGCCACAAACAUACUGGUAGCAACAUUACUUUGCUAAAUAAGUCUUGGUGAUGCUAUGUUCCUUUGUCAAAAUCCUCAGUUGCAUUGUCGUCUAUUUGAUCCAUGCAUGCUUACUUAUGCAAUCUAGCCAAUGUGUGUGCAGUUGUUUGACUUAUUUUUUCCUCUGUGUUGUGAUGCAUGUGCAGCUGCUGAUCGGGAACCAGCCAUUGGUGUACCUCAAUAAGGUCACUGACGGCUGCAUGGGCGAGUCGCUGCAAAGCUUGAGUCCAUGGAGCCCUGCUCCAGCCUCAAGGAGAGGUUAGUCAGCUGCUCCUUUUUUUUGAUCCCCGUGAUUUGUUUUUUGUUGUUGUUGUUUUUCAAUCUGGGCUCAAGAUUUGUUAUGUGUGUUGCCCUUGUGCAGGAGAAAUGGUUCAUCGAGCCAGGCAAGGUGCGCGUUGGUAGGCUCGGCCUCCAGCCUCAGCGUCUUCUGUCGGCCCCUUUGCCAUGUGGCGCCGACGGUGCUGUUCGGAGUCGGCUACAAAAAUGGCAUGGUGAGCUCCUCUCCAUCCUCUGCUCCCCGCCUUUGGUUGCUCUGAGCUCGUGCCCAUCGAGCCACAACUAUGCCAUGCUAGAAUUUGGCCUCUAAUGGUCACUGUGGAUGGAUGUUAUGGUUCCUGUGAUGUGCUAGGGUUCAUAUGAAUUGCCUCAUAAUUGAGCCAUUGGUCCAUGUGUAUGCGUUUUGCUCUUGUGAGCUAUUUUACAAGAGUUUACUAAGUGUUUGUGUAGUGCAAAUGUGUUCUGCAUACAAGCUUAUCAUCCUUAGUUAGAUAUAGCAUGUACAAACUCUUCUUAUGAUUAUAUGGCUCACAAUCUCAAGCUUGAGGGGUUGGUUGUGGUGCUACAGUUGUUGGAGUAGGUGGGAAGCUGGUGGUGCUGGUGUGGCUGACACCACACCAGUAACUCAGCCAAGCUUCUAGUGUGCUGUAUUUACUGAUUAAUGGGGGUUUUUGCAGCAAGGUAGAGUUGCUUUCUUCCCAUAAUGAACAUAUCGAAAGUAGCAAAUAUGUUAUGCAAUUAGGUGGUAGGUGGUGCUCGUUUGAAUUUGAAACAUAGAUACAAUAUAGGUGGUGCUCGGAGCACACAUAUUUUUUAGUUGUUUUAUGGGUAACAAUGUUCAGGCACACAUUUCUCCUAAAAUUGCUCACCAUUCUAGCAUUUUAGUUCUCAAUGGCUUUUCCACUUUCAGUGAGUUAUGAAAGGAAUUUGUCUAGUAUGGAUGGUUUGAUCAUUGAGUUAAUGAAAAUGUUUCUGAGACAUAAAUCCCACUCAUUUUAGUACCUAUAUCAAUUUUAACCUUUUUAAAAUAUUUCACAGACCACAUAUUCACUUGUUUGAAAAAUGUAUCUGAAACAUAGAUACAAUAUUGUUGUUGCUUAAAAGGUCUUGUCUUCGGGAUCUUAAAUAUGCAAAAAUAUUCAAAAAUGGACUUACACUUUAGAAGUGUUGUCUUAUGUAUGUUUGCGCAAUACAAUAUGCUCAUGUGAUCCUUAUGUUGGUGAUCUUUCAGGAAGCACGACAGGUCGCGUAAAGAGGAGGAAAAGAAAGCUGAGCGCUCAACUUGUUUAGAGGACUAGCCUUUCUUCUUCCUUGAAAGAAACAUUGAAAGGUAAGACAUGACAGUGGCAAGCAUAGAUAGGCACUAGAGAUGUUUUUUUCUUUCUCUAGUCCAUUUACUGAAUGGGGUGGUGCUUUAUUUCUUCCGGAGAAGAAGAUGUGCUGAAACUAGAUGUAGAGAUGCAUGACCCUUUCUUUGAUUUCCUCUACGUGCUUGAUUCUGAAGUAGGAUGAUCAAAUUUAGAUGGUAUUUACUUUUUUUGUAGGGCAAGUAUAAUGUUUGCCAAGUCAAUCAAUAUAUAUUGACAUGCUCCCUGGGAUGAGAUGGCAAACCAUUUAGAUCAAGCCAUUUCAGUUUGCUGCAUUCAAAUUCCAAACCAAUUAAUGUCCACUUUUAGUUUGAGCCAUGAGAUGAUGGAAAACCAACUCGUUUGCUGCACUUGGUUGUAGAAAUGUCACUCACCGUUCCAGAUUAUUACUUGAGGUUAUAUAUGCUAUACGUAUAAACUAUGCUAGUGUUUGAUCUGGCCCUUGCGAAACAAGGAAAUUUGUUCCUUUCUUUUGUUGUUGCACACUUGUAGCUAAAGAUUGACUAGGACAUUGCUAUUUUUUAUUGCCGCUUGAUCUGAACCCUUCAGUCUUGUUGAUAGCUAGCAUGCCCUGCGACUAACGAUUACGCAAAGAACUCUUAUCUACUCUUGGUAAUUUACCAAGAAAACUCUGCAGUUUGAACGGGCCGAGUUGAUCGUGACUAUCACGAUCCUUUUGAUGGGUUUUGUUGUUGAAACAACACAAACUAGGAGCGGGAUUAGAUGACUGAUUGAGAGCUAUUUGUUUUGUUGUGUGCAUGCUAUGGGACACAUACGUUAAACUUUUUUAGCUUAGUCUCGGCCUACUGGACAUUGCUUGUAGUUUCUUGCUUUGAGCUUGUUUGGCAUGCAAAUUAACUCAUAUGUGGUGGAGUUCUUUUCUUUGUUUUUGCUGAGACGAAGAGCUUCUAGCUUUGAGAGGCAAAAGAAGAUGGUCCUCCGAAUUCGUUUAAGCUUGGCUUUGGUGGCGCCGGAAGAGAAAGGUUUGUUUUCGGACUCGAGGCAGACCAAGCAACUAGGCUGUCGACCGAAUUCGUUUAAGCUUGGCUUUGGUGGCGCUAGAAGAGAAAGGUUUGUUUUUGGACUCGAGGCAGACCAAGCAACUAGGCUGUCGACAACAAGGGACAUGGGACCUGGCGCUGCUUAUGACAACAGUCAUUUCUUUGUGUAUGUAAUAUACUAGUUGUUGUAAUAGACUAGCUGUUGUACCUGCACACUUGUAGUGUUCUCCUUCCAUGUGAAAUACAAAAUGGCAAUUCUAUGCCUCUGUGCAUGCAUUCCUUUCUGCCUGUUAUGCUGCCAAAAUUUCUAGCCGAGACCUGCCCGACUUGUCAAAAUUUUGUCCUUGUUUGUAACGAAACAAAAAAUGUGAAGGGGGCGACUGUAAAAAUUUGUCUUUGUUUGUAAGAAAACUAAAACUUCUGGGUGUUGAUUGUUCGUCUUAGGGUGCAUGUCAAGAGAAUUAGUUUAAUGGGAUGAACUAUUUACGUGCUCGAGAAGUCACUGUUUGUACCGCAGCUCAUGACGGAAGCUAGCACAUACAAGGAAGAUGUAGACUCCGUAUUGAGAAAAACCACACAUGUAUAGAGAUAAAAAGACACAAAAAUAAAAGUAAAAUGCGUAGAACAUUCUAAAACCGGAACCCGUAUCAGAAAAUAUUUUUUAAGUCCCGACGAUUGUUUUUGAAAUUGUCAACAUUUCUCCGGAACCCGUAAACAUUUUCUUGAAUUAGUGAAUAUUUUUCAGGAAUUUUAAAGAAUAUUCAUGAAAAUAAAAUUGUAUUCCAUGAGCAUUUAUUUAGUUGUCAUUAUUUUUGAAACGAUGAACUUUUUGAAAAUUCACAAAUAUUUUUUAUUUUGUGAUCAUUUAUUUACAUAUUCAUUAACAAUUUUGAAUCCGUGGACAUUUCUUUAUAAUCAUGAAUUUGUCUUUUUUAAUUCGUGAACAUAGUUCAAAAUUGUGAAUAUUUUGUCCAUUUUGAGAACUUUUUUUGAAGCCAGAAACAAUUUUGAACUCGCGAAACUUUUUUACAUUCGAGAACAAUGUUUCAAAACUCGUGAACAUUUUUUUGAAAUUCAAUUUUUAUUUUGACAUCCCAACCAUCAUUUGAAACUAGAUGAUGGCCCAUGCCUUGCUGCGGGAAUGAAUUGUAAUAUAUUUCAAUAGGAUUUGACUAUGUGGAGUAUAAAUAUUUCAUUUAACAACAUGUGAACAAUAUUUUAUUACGUACAUACGACGUAUCAUAUUUUAGUAUGUAUAGUUGUAAAGUAUUUAUUGAAUAUAAGUAGAAUAAUAGAGUGAAUAAUAUUUUCUGAUGCAUGGCUGGAUGUGGUGGUGGGUGAUUUCACAUGCGUGGGUGCAUGUUGAUGGGCCUUAUCCCUUCAAUAAUUGUAUGGUGAUGUGGCAUGCUUGUAUGUUGAGAUAAGUAAGUUAGUGGGGAUGACUCUUUUAUGUAUAUAUAGAAUUUAUAAUUGUUUUUAAAUCCCGAACAAUUGUAUUAAAGAAACAAAACAAAAAAAGAAAAAGAAACAAAAAAACAGGGGCGGCCCACCCCAAUACGCACUGGGGGAGCGGGUGUUGCGCGCUAGGUCACUACUCAGCGACUCGCCCGCGAACUAGGAGCUCCCUAAAGGCAAGCCUUAUUUGGCGCUUUCGGCACCGGUUAAGGGCUAUUUUGCCAACCGGUGCACACGCCCCUCAAAGUUGGGCCGGCCCAUUUUACUUUUUUUUGCGGGUGUUGAGUUUCAAACUCGGACCUGUAUCUUUAACGAGAAGUGCACUAACCAGUAGGACAUCGCAAAACACGUCCAACCCUAUUUCAUUUUUUCCUUUUAUACCUUUUUUAGUUUGCAGGAAGCUCAAAACUCACUUCCCGUCGACAGACAUGGCCUAUCUCCCUUUCGGUCCCAAGUUCCGUGUUGCUGUCGUGUCCCACCAUUGAGUUGGGAGACGACAAAUCAAGUUAUAAUACAAUAUGUGCACAUUAAUUGUGCAUGGUGAUUCAUGCAUAUUUUCCAUGAAUACCCAUACACUAUUUCUCGCCAUUUCAUGUGAAGAGUGCGGAGACUAAAAAAUUAUUGGAUCUUGCUAUCACUUAAACAAUUUUGAGAGAAUCAUGGUAUAAUUAUAGUUACGAUGGGAGAAUCAUAGAAUAAUUAUAACGACGACUAAAACAAUUGUAGAAUAAAUUAUGAUUUAUUAUGAUGAUUUAUAGGAAAGUAAGUAAUUGGAGGUUAAUUAGUUUCAAUGGAUAUCAGGACAAUAGCAUAGUUCACGAAACAAUCUCUCAUCCCGCUUUAUACAUAAAACACAAACCAAAGUACAUGACCGAACAAUAUAAGAAAGUGAGAAAGCACUCUUACAGAGUAGAACCCGGGAUAAACGGAUAAAAUAAACGAACGGGAGUACGUUGAUGAGAACUAACAACUAACACAGAUAGGCGUGAAUACAACGCCACGACAUGACGUAGGACCCAUAAGCUCCAUGACAACACCCUCAAGAGGGGAGACGACGUGAAGCGUUGCCGCUACCGAGUCCGAGACAGACAGGGGUCGUCACCCGAAACCUUGAAACGAAGAGAAGAACCACAGCGAUGUCUUGAAGAGAAGCAGUGGCGGAGCCAGCCAGCUGAAGGGGCCGGGGCAAAGUCUUUACACAGAGCUGUUGCCCAGCAUUUGCCCAAUUAAUUAGUAAUGCUAAUCAUGGUUUCUUUGUAUUGUUUAGUGAAGACUGGCCCGAGCAGCCCGGGCAGCGGCCCCAGGUCGCCGGGAGCUAGCUCCGCCACUGAAGAGAAGGCAGCACCCAUGGGUGGAUGAUUUUUAGUUCUGUACUCCCGCUAUUUCUAAAUAUAAGUCUUUUAAGUAUGGACCUGCAUACAAAUGUAUAUAGAUAUAUUUUAGAAUGUAGAUUCGUUUAUUUGCUCCGUAUGUAGUUCAUAUUGAAUUCUAUUAAAAAGAUAUUUAGGAACGAACGAAGUAUAUUUUUACUGAAUUUGUUUUCUAUAUUUUUUUGUCAGAUUUAUAACAAUACAUGAAGGAAGUAAUUAGGCCAAAGCUGGUCAUAGGGUGUCAUAGGGUCGUGAUCCCCGUGAUAUUAGGUGUUCAUCGUCGGAUCUAGAAGGUAAAGAGAUGAGCGAUCAGGAUUGGCCGGAGGAAGACCAUGAUCCGUGGACUUACGUCAAGGACCAAUCAAGCCGCACUCUUGUUGAAAGGUUUCGCGCUCAACCUCAAGAGCGCGGGACUUUGUCGCGCCGAAAACUCUAGCGCCCACGCUUUCGUCCAAAUUUUCGCGCUCGGGCUCGGUGACGUCUGGAAAACUCUGGCGCCCUCGCUUUCGUCCAAGUGUUUCGUGCUCGGUCCAAGACUUAAUAUUUUCAAAUGAAAAUGAGAAGAGAGAUUCUAACCAACCAGCACCCAACCCAACCCAAAACAGCCCUUGCACACUCUAUCUUCUUCCUCCUCCCCCGAUUCCACCCAACGAGCCGCCGGGAACCUCCUCUCCUCCAGCCACCGCCGGUGCCCUCCACCCUCUCCUUCUCUCCUAGUCUCCGCGUCCAACCUCGAAAGCAUCCCCUCCUCGCGCCCAAAACCCUAGCCCGCGUCCACGGCAACCAAUCUCUGGAUCCGCAUCGCAGGAUGCCGCCGGAUCCAGGGACAGGGCAUCGCACCCUGCAGCCGCCGUUCAAGUCGAGCGCGGGGGCGGCGAAUGCCGGUGCUCCUCUACUUCCUCGACCUCCAAGGACGCAGGCCCCGGAUUCGUGCUCGCCUUCUUCCUCCACCAGCCUUGGUGCCCAACUCCCUACAACCGCCGUCGCCGUCGCCGUCGUGGACUCCCAAGGUCCCAUCCGCCUCUCGUCUUUCCUAUUUCGAUUUUCACCGUCGAUGUGUGUGUGUGAUCAAUUUGCGUUUUUUUUUAUUCCAAGCAGCAGGCGAGGAGCAUGAGGACCGAGCUCGAGCGCGACCAUGACGCAGCGCACAAGGUCCCUGUUUCCUGCACAAGGUAGCACCUCUCUCUCCCUCCGCCCACUCACUUCCUAAUCUCCUCUGGUCCCAAGCUUUCCGGCAAUGGAGCCCGAGGCAUCAAGAACCGUCCACUCACUGAUGCAUUUGCAGUAUACACAACACCUUGCUUGGUUGGGGAGCAGCAACAUCAAGGUUGUUGAACAAACAGCAAUAUCAAGACGUUGAACAAAUAGCAACAUCAGUUGCUGAUAGCGUGCUGAAUUACUCACCAUGAACCGUCCUCAUUCUGUAACUUCUGAAUGAAUUCACUCACUCACCUGAUGCAUUGUUCUACUUCAUCUUCUUGAUGCCCAGGGUGUUUCAGCACCAACGCUUGGAUGACCAACGAGGUACACUCGACGUACCUGUGAUAUGCAUGUGUAUUAAUAUCGAGUCACAUGUGAGAGCUAUUGCAAAGAAAGGAUGUAGAUUUCUUACUGUUGUUGUACCAUGGUGUCUGCACAUAUAUCUCUCAUGUUGAAAAUCUGAAGAUGGAAAAAUAAAUAAUAAAUUCUCAUUACCCAAUGUUAGAUUGAGUUGCCUAAUUUUCAAAUAAAAAUAGCAUGCAGUGCAAACAUAUGACUGCACAUCAUCUUUUGGUUCAGUCUGUAUGUGCAUUUUUAAAUUUUGCCUAAAACUGUGCCAAAUGCAUGUCCUAAGCUAUGCAUGCUCUUACCGUAGCUAAUCUCAACCCUGUGUGCAAGCUAUUGGACCUGAUAUCGGUUAAUUCCAAGUACAAAUUCAGUUACUGUAUAUUUAUCUUCGAACCAGAAUAUUUAUUGUGGAUCUGGUUACAUGGUGUGCCAUGCAUAUGCCUUAGCACUAGUAUUUCAGCAUGCUUAUGCCUGUGCAUUUGCUAGUUUGUUAGCUAACACAUGUUUUACUGAAGCGGUUUGCAUAACCAUGACCAAACUAGGUAAAUAUUAUUGAUUUGGUAAUCUUGAAACUCAACAAUCAAUGAAUGAAAUACAUUUGAUCCUCUUUUGACAUGUGUCGAGUGUUGUCCUGAUGUAGGAACAAGCUAUGGCGGUGGCUGCCGAUUUGCCGCCUCAACAAGGUCUCGUUCCUCCCUGGUUUGCACAAGCUUUGUCAGGGAACUGCAGAUCCCGUACGACCAUGGCCCACACCCCUAAAGCAUCCCUUGUCCGCAACAACUUCUGGAUCAAAGGUGUUCAUUCAUCUCUCUGCUGUCCUAAAGCAUGAAAAUGUUUCUCCUCUAGACUUCUUUAGAUUUAUGUUGGUCUGAUGAUGGUGUUAGUCCGGAGAUGGUGAUCUAAUCAUAUUCAAGAUAUCUAAACUGAAUGGAUGUUAUUACAAAACAAUCUAAUAUAUGUAGAACAACCAACAGGAAAUUUGCAUCUUCAUUUUGCCAUUGCCACUGAAUAUGUUUCUUAAUAAUGUGGUUAAUCUUUAUGCAUGGAGAAACAAGAUCAUUUGUGACUUUUGAGCAAGGUUAUAAUUGGUAGCUUUGAAUGUAUUAUGUGUGCUUUCGAGAGCAAGUUUUGUGCAGCAGUUGUUCUGGUCAUUAAAGUUUGUGUUUUGUGCUUGUUUUGUUCUGGCAUGUAAUCUCAUGUUUGACCACAACUGAAUCUUCAAUGCAAAGACUCUGUGUUCCACUCAUAUAAUCUCAUGUUUGACCAUUCAAUGCAAAGAUAUAAUUGAUGAUCGAUCAUAUAAGUUCAUUACACUAACCAACAUGGUAUUAAUGUCGAGUCGAGAGUUGGCCACUUUGCUCUUCUUGUUAUCUCAGGAUUGUUGCUUAAUCCCGGGUUGCUCUACCUUGAAGGAAAAGGGGUCCUCCUUGAGAUCAUACAGAUGGCGCAAGGAAAAUGGUAAUAUGGUCAUUGUGGUGGGUGAGGGUGCUGGCCAAGAUCUCAUCGCCUAAAGCAUCAAUUUUGUGGACCUCACCAUCCCUUCCUUGGUUUGAGUGAGUCCUUGGUCUCCUCUCUCUCUCUCUCUCUCUCUAAGAUGGUCCGGCUAUCGAGUCGAUGGUGAUUGUGUUGCUGGCAAUCAAGAGGCUGAUUUGGUGUUUGGAUCUGUGGUGGCCUUCUUUUGUGAUUGUGAUUGUCUUUCUUGUUGAUGAAAUUGGUCUCUUGUAAUUAUAUGAUGGGCCCUUUUUUGCUCUACAUGCUAUAUGGUUUGGUUAUGGUCCAUGUUUAGUCUUGAUAGGAACCUUAUGCUGGGAUUUUGACUUGUUAAUGGCUAUCAAAUAAAACAAAAAAGCUUACCUAUUGGUGUAGUGGUUAUGUGUAUUGAUAGAACUGGUUGAUAUUUGUACAACAGAAGGAAAGGGGGCUCCGUUCUCUGUUACUUUUAUUCUAUCUUAAUGCGUGUUGGUAAUACACCGUAGUAGAAUCUUGAUUUUCUGUCAGAGGUAAGGUAACCAAUGUCAAAUGGGAAAUGGACAACCUUUUCCAUGCAGAAAAGUAAAGUCCUUAAUACAGUCAUACAAAAUAUGAGAUGUCCACCACUAUUGUCUCUGGUGUAUUUUAUAUAUGCUUCAGAAAAUGUAAAUCAUGUGAUGGCUGAUAUAUUUAGCGAAGAAUAUGGAGGAUUUUGUUUGUCUCAAGAGAUGAGUGAAUGAAACCGUGGGCUGUACACUAACCUGUAAUCUGCUAUUGGGUCUAGCAAAGUUGGAUUUUUUUCUAAUCUGGCACCUGUUUAUAGGUUUCAUUUAGUUGAGAGCAAAAUGGCUAUGUUUGAACUGAAGCUUGGUUUAUCUACAUUUUGUAGAAGUUUUUGAUUAUUUGAUAGUUGAUAUCUCUUCUAUUGCGAGCAGCAGAGGAGGAUGGAUCCAGGACUGUCCGCUGCGGAUUCGCCGCCUCACCUAUGUCGGUCUUGUGCGUGCCUGGGGUUCUUUGCCGAGCACCAACACCGCCCAUGGAGCCGGCGAGCUCACACACCUGCACCUUCAGAAGCACCACGUUAGCUACUGCAACAUCAAGUGCUACGGCGAGGUUGCUGGGCGCUAGCCGUGGCGUCCGACGCGUGUAUGGUUGAAGGUUUUUUGGUUCAGUGCUCGUGCGACGCCGGCGCCAGUGGCGCUAUACGGCCUCGGCUACGGUCGUUCUGGUAAGUUCCUAAUUUUGUUUAUACCAGCUUUCCUUUUUGCGCUUUUCUUUUGAUUUUACAUUUGGGCAUACAUGUUACAUAUCCAAAAUGGGUGGAAUUGAAAUGUUGGAUAUUAUAUCCAAACGGUAGGGUUUAAUUUUUUUGGGGAGGGUGUAAGGUUAAAUCUUUGUUCCUAGUGGAACAUAUCUUUUUCAAAUUGGUAAUAUGGUUGCUUUGUCCAUGAUAAUGCUAUAAACAGUUUGUAUGGAUUGGUGCUGGUGUUCAUCCAUCCCUACAAAUAUUUUGCAUCCUCAUUUUGCCAUUGCCAUUGAAUAUGUUUCUUAAUAAUGUGGUUUCUCUUUAUGCAUGGAUAAACACUUUAUUGUAUCAAUUCAUUUACAAGAUCAUUUGUGACUUUUGAGAAAAGAUAUAAUUGAUAGCUAUGAAUGUAUUUGGUUUUCUUUUGAGAGCAAGUUUUGUCGAGUAGUUUGCACUUUUUUAUUCUUUCCAUUGAAUGUAUUUAGUUUGUCCAGUGAAUAUUUUGUCCAUUUUGAGAACUUUUUUUGAAGCCAGAAACAAUUUUGAACUCGCGAAACUUUUUUACAUUCGAGAACAAUCUUUCAAAACUCGUGAACAUUUUUUUGAAAUUCAAAUUUUAUUUUGACAUCCCGACCAUCAUUUGAAACUAGAUGAUGGCCCAUGCCUUGCUGCGGGAAUGAAUUGUAAUAUAUUUCAAUAGGAUUUGACUAUGUGGAGUAUAAAUAUUUCAUUUAACAACAUGUGAACAAUAUUUUAUUAUGUACAUACGACGUACCAUAUUUUAUUAUGUAUAGUUGUAAAGUAUUUAUUGAAUAUAAGUAGAAUAAUAGAAUGAAUACUAUUUUCUGAUGCAUGGCUGGAUGUGGUGGUGGGUGAUUUCAUAUGCGUGGGUGCAUGUUGAUGGGCCUUAUCCCUUCAGCAAUUGUAUGGUGACGUGGCAUGCUUGUAUGUUGAGAUAAGUAAGUUAGUGGGGAUGACUCUUUUAUGUAUAUAUAGAAUUUAUAAUUGUUUUUAAAUCCCGAACAAUUGUAUUAAAGAAACAAAACAAAAAUGAAAAAAGAAACAAAAAA